UUGAAAUAUUCCUUAAGACUAUAAAUAAGACCUUUAUUGUUCAUGUGAAUAACAAUAUUUUUCACCUGAAAUUCUUAGAUAAUUCUUGCACUACAAAAAUGACAGAAUAUUUUGAGAAAACACUGACAAUAUGAUAUGUGAAAGCUGACAAUUUUAUCCUUCCUAAUAGCAUCAGGGAUAGUUUUCUAGACUGUGAGUGUGAAGCGGUUAUCAUUUUUUCCGAGAACAUAUACAAAAUGAAUUAUAAACUAGGUGUAUACAGGCUUCUUUGUCAAGGCUGGAACCAGUUUGUUGAUUCGAAUGGACUGAAGCAAGGAGAUACUCUGUAUUUUGCAGUUGGUUUAAGCAACAAUGGAAUAGAUUUUGUUGUUACGAAGAAGUAGGAGAUUUUCAUUAUAGAUUAGGUUCUUUUAUAUUUUUUAUUAAUUUAUGAUCCUCAUAGUAUAGGAUCAUCUUUGUAAUUAUCUAUCAUUUUUAAUAUUAUGAAUGAAGUUUUUGUUAUC